ACUAUUACUAAGUGAAACUUCUUGGUACGACGAAGGGUAAAAAUGUAAAUAUUCACGUGUCCCUUCAUUAUAAAUGUUAAAACACGUGUCCCAUUUUCUGCUUCACUUUGCUCCACUUUCGUGUUCUUCUUUAUUCAUUAUGUGCUGAGAUGGAUCAAAGAAUUGAAAGAUUUGGAGCUCAGAUGUGAUGGUGACGAUUAACUUAGAAGUUUCUUCACUGGCAGAGAUUAGAUUCGGAAGUAGUUGUGAAUAGGUUUUGAAAGUCGCAGCUGGUCAAGGUUGGAAGGAAAUGGCACUGCUUGUCAAGGUAACUUUUGCACUUUGUUUGCUCUAAUGUUAUAUGCUUAGUUAUAUUGCUAAAUGGUUAUGAAACCUACAGUAGAUACAACUAAAUAACAGGAUGUGAUAGAAAUAAAAAAUAGCCCAUAACCUAUAAGACUGGCAAUUAACAAGUAUGGAAGUACCAAAACAAUGAUCCAUGGCAUUGAAUUUCUAAGUAGAAGACUGAUGGUUCUCAAUAUUUUGCUAAGAGUGGAUAAGGCUAAGAACAAACAAAAAAAGUUGAAUUGUGAAGCUAAUGCUGUUUCUCGGAUGACCUGUAUAUUACUGCAUUUCUUUGCUUGCCAAUUUUUGUACCUUAGUAGAUUGUAAAUGCAAUGGGUUUUAAUAUUUUAAUAAAUUACAAUAUCAAAUAAUUUUAUAUUCCAUUUAGUUGUAAUAUAAUGGAUGCACAGUUUUGAUUGACUGUAAGUGGUAAAUUUUACCGUUUGUGUCCACGGGAUUAAGCUGUGACUGGUUUUCCAUGGUGUGUGUUUGCACCUUUCUGCAUGUAGAACAAAAAUAGUCUAUUUGAUUUUUUUGUUUUUUUGUUUUUUUGUUUUUUUUUUUACCCAUCGCCCCCCGCCCCCCUCCACAUAGGGGCUCCCCCUCUGCUCUCUUGGUGACUCGAACUCACAACCUUCAGGUUGAAAGUGGAGGGCGCUUACCAUCUGAACAACCCCCUCUUGUCAAAAUAGUCCAUUUAGAUUACUCUCUCCAAGCCUUUUUAAUUACUGUUUUUUUUUUAAACAAUUUUGAAGCCAAAAAGAAGUAUGUUGCCUGCAAGAGAAAGAAGAAAUCUUUAACAAUGUUUUCAUAGUUUUAUUUGUGCCUCGACAUUCAGGAGAUAUGAAUACAAAUUUAAAGUCUCCUCUGGUACCUCAGUAACUUGUAAUUGCAUCGAUUUAUUUUCUUCGAAUAUUAUUUGUUGGUCAAAUAUUUUUGGCAAGUUAAAUGUGAGCUUAGUUUCUAGACUAAGACAAUGCAGUGAACAUUUGAAGGACAUAAAUACUAUAUUUAAUUUGUAUCAUGCCUUAGAAAUGAUUUUUGAUACAGAUCAACCUAUUUCAAACGAAUAGAACUUAUCAUCCUUACAUUUUUUUAGCAAGCGACAAUCAAACGGACUUUUACCCUCCAAAUAGAUUCACCAAACAGAUUCAUGAACAUAUAUUAGCUAUAAGUUGCAUUUUGGUCAGCUUAGAUUAUUUUUAUUAUCUUUUUGAGCUAGGGCCAACAAUUAUUGUUGCUUAUUUUUAGCUGGAUAAUGUGUUAAGUUUUCAUCUGUGUGAACUUAAGAACGGAUAGCCAAUACGAGAAAUAUAGAGCACUAUGAUGUGGAUAAUACAAAUGUCCUGGACACUUCAUAUCGGUAAGUUCUGUCAAUUUUCUUUCUGACUCCUCUUUUGGUUAUCAUGUGCUCUCUUUUAUUAAAUUACUCUUUGGAUUCUUUUUUGGGAUAACUCAUCAAAUUUUGGCAAUAAAUAUUUCGUACCUUGGUGGUAGAGGACUUCGACAGUGUUUAUAUACACACUAAAAAAACGGGCAGCUCAAUGCACAAAACAUCCUACGUUAGCAAUAUAUACACCACAAUUAAUUAAAAUAACUAGAGAGGUUUGUAUCUUUUUUAAUCUUGUUCUUCCACCUGGAAUCAGUUGCCCCAGAGUUGCUUUGUGAUAGUUAGAUCAGAGAUGGUUUAUUUAUUAAAGCAAACGGAAAAGGCUUAUGCUACAUAUUACUGUUCCAAUGUUUCUUUUCUUUCUUUAAGUUCUUUGCUUCCAACAAUUUUUUCACAUCACAAAAAUGGGAGUUGAUUUUAACUCACGCAACCUCUGUCUCAUAUGUUUCUGGUUUUAUUUUGAUAUUACUUCCAACAGAUUGUUUUUUAUCUUGUGAAAAAAAGUAUGAUAAAAGAAGACGAAGAGCUUUAUAUAGAUUUCCUGAUGCGAAGUAAGUGUUUCUGGGAACAGAUUGGACAAAAGAAUUUACCAAAGAGAACUCUGUGUACUGCUACUAUUCCACUACAAUCACAUUUUUAAAUCCUGAUGCUGGCAUCUCAUGGACCAAGAAUUGUGUACUGAUUAUAUGGAGGAUCUAUGGAAAACUUGAUCAACCUAAUUCAACCUAAUACAGUUGUUCCAUUCAUAUUCUUUUUGUUCCAAGUGUUCAAUGAUGAUAUUCAGCAACAUCUUCUUGUUGAGCUUUUUCUUCUUUAGAUGACAGCUAGCACAACUGCUAUUUGGAGAGAGUGGGCCCUAUAUUUUUUGCACUUUCCAGCAAUAUCUGAGAGAUUGGAAAUGAGGCAUUUACACGGCAGACACGUAGGGUGACAAGAAACAUAACUAAGAUUGUAAAAUUCUCUACCUUUUCUGAUAACUGAUAGAAUGUUACACUCUAUGACGUUCAUAUUGUAGUUCAGCGACACUAAAUAUUCUAAACUUUCAAUUUAGCAUACCAAUUAAGGUUUUUAUUGUUUCUGAAGUAGGAAAUGUAGAGAAGAAAUUUUAUCUCCCUUUAGUUUUAAAAUAUAUCCAUCACCUCACUCUUAGCUCUAGGUAAGUAAUAAUGUUAAUUUACUUUAUUAUUACAAUCUUAUAAUUCCUUAUCCAAUAAAGCUUGAUUUUUUCCAGUUUAUGAAGAUUGACUUUUUUAAUACAAGUGACAGUAGAUAUUGCAUUAAUACCUUUCCAUAAGUGCAGCAUCAAGGUAAAAUUAUUUUUUCUCCCAUUUAUUAAAAAGCUGGUGUUGCUUGAUCAGUACUUCUCUUCGAGUUUGGUUCUGUAAAAAUUGUUAUACUAAUAUUUCAUCAUCGAAAUUUGUGGUCGACAGCUAGCUGUGAAUUUAAAUUCUUGAUGAUAUUAAUCUAUGUUCACGUUUUCACAAAAUUUACUCUUGCUUUUUACUUACUACCAAGAUAAUUCUGGUAAACUUAUAAACUUCUCAUGUUUUUUGUUGAGAAACAGGGAAAAAAUGGUUACAAGUCAGAAUCUGCAACUAAUUGUGAACGCUUUGUUUCUUGAGCUCAUCAAGCCAAAUGUGGAUAUCAAGGAACUGGAUGAAUUGGACGUCUUAGCAUGAUGGAAUAAGUACAAGGCAAGUCAUUCGAUACUCUCAAGAAUGACUCGAAAUAUCUUUACGGUUCAAGUAUCAACCGCGGCUUCGGAGUGCGCAUUUUGCGAUUGGAUUAGAUCGGAGUGACGCAACCAAAACUUAGAAGCGAAGGAAGGCGAAAAGGAAGCAAUUGAAGAUUUGAUAGCAAAUGGACCGGACCAAAUGGAAGACUUUCAAGAUAUCUUCAUGGUCGAAUAUGAUAUGGGAAAAUUAAUUAAAUGAUUGAGAAUUGAUGAUUUUAUUAUUCUACUAUUUCUGUACAAGUUACAACUCAUGUAUUAUUUGCAAGUUAAAAAAAAAACUACAACAUACAAAUAAAUGUUAUCCAAGAAUGAAUGAAAUAUAUGGCUCAUUGAGCUUUCUUUUA